GAACGUGCCGAGGUCUGCGAAGCGGGGGUCCACGAACUUGUUGAGGGCCUCCAGGACCACGGUGUGCACGGGCUGAGACUCAAAGUCCAGGCGCUGGGGAAGGAAUGGAAGGCUGGUUAGCGGCUGGGGCUUGGUGGACAGUGGCUGUCAGGACCUCCCGGACAUAGGAGGGCCGGGGCUGGCCCAAGGUCCCAGGGUGACUCAGGAUAGUGUGGCUGUUCCUUAGAGCUGAGUCAGACCAACACUUUCCAGCUAGAAGCAAACAGCUGCUCUAGCUCAGCACAAAGGCCCAGACGUCCUGACCUCCUGCCUUCCUGCAUAGCCUGUUAGGACAUCCUUUAAUUUUUUUGAAGAAAGGCAAAGCACUUACUAUGUGUUAGUGCUUUAACUUAUUAACUCAGUUUCACCUAUGAUGCUUGUAUUAUUAUCUCAUUUUACUCAUGAGCAAAGGCAUAAAUUGCUCCAGUAUCACUGACAGAGGCAGGAUUCAAAGCCAGACAGCGUGGCUCCCCAGCCCAGGCUCUCACACUGGGACAGAAAAGGGGCUGGACUUGCAGUGACACAGCCUGGGUUCUGACCCUGUCUCUGCUGCAGACCAGCUGUGGCUGGCAUCCUAGUUAGCCUCUGGGGCCUGGGGGAAGUGGAAGUCCGUCCCCGGUACCCAGGAGGUGGUGCCUGCCUGUGCAGCGCUUGCAUCUGAUGAGCUCGGCCGCCUCGAGCUUCCCUGGAGCCUCGGCUGAAGGCACGCUGAGCUGUGCUGUUCAUCAGGAGGCGCUGAUGGGUGACCUCUGAUGAAUGAGUUCCCUGGCUGUGCAUCGGCUCUGGCUGGCUAAGGACAGUGCUCAGAGCACAGAACUGCACUGGCAGAGCCUGGUUGCGUGGUAGAGGAGUUAUGCUGGCCAGGGACCCACAGAUGGUGCCUGUGUGUACAAGGUCCCCCAUGCUUCCCAGAAGCCCCACCCUGCCUUUCCUAGCAGCACAGAAGGAUACCCACAGCCCUCCUCCAUCCUGUAGCCUAAGGAAUGAGGGUGCAGUGAGGCAGGUGGAGGCCCGGCCUAGGAGUGAGUGGUAGACUCGGGAACCAGGACAUCAGUUGGGUGGGGCUCUGCUCUCUGCACCAUCCUAGAUGCCUACAGACACCUCUGGCACCUGGACGGAUGGGAGCUGUGAGGUGCCAGGAUAGAGCAGAGCUCGGUGCGGGAAUCCCAAAGCCAGGCUUUGGACCAGAUUCUGCCUCUCUAGGCUGCUGGGCCUCUCUGGACCUCCAAUUCUGUGUUUGUGAAAUGGGCUCAUCUUAUAGUAGGUAUGUGCGGAGAGUAAAAGGCUGAAAGUGACCCAAUGCUCAGAAGGGUGGUUCUGGAGCCAGACAACUGGACAGACUCUACUGGGCAUGAGUGGUCCCAGACAAGUUACUGGAUCUCUCAGGGCCUCAGUUUCUCAUCUGUAAAGUGGACAGUGAUAGGACCGCAGAGGGUGGUCGAGGGACUGAAUGGGUUACUGCGCAGGAAGCAGUGGAAGAGCACCUGGCCUGUGGUAAGCACUUGAAAACUGGCCAGGAUGUCAUCAUCCUCCAGGAAGGCACUGAGGGAACUGGGUACUUUCUCUACUCUCCCACUCCUGAGGCAAGGUCAAGAGUGGGCCAUUGUGUGCUUACAGAGUGAACGCAGAGCUGCCGAAGGCAGACGUCUCUAUGAGUCCUGGAUCCUAAAAGGCACAGCCCAGGUUGGUCAGAGCAGACCUAACAAGGCAGAUCCCAGCUGAAGAGAAGGAAAGGAGCUGAGCAGUAUCAGACAGUGAACCCCCUGUCCCUGGAAGUGUCUAAGGGCUCAUGACAACUGGGGGCCAAUGCAGAGGAUUUCGAUCUCCCACAGGAAAUUAGGGUUUUGUGGAGAGUCUUAAAGGCCUGCACAGCGCCGAGUUAUUGAGCCCCUGGCCAAAUCCGGAAAAGUGGACUUUUGCCUCCUUACUUAACCUCCAUCCCUUUCUCCUAGUAAUGAGCGAAUUGGCAGUUUUAGUUUUCUGGGUCCUGGGUCAGCCAGGGAGUAAGGAAGGCUGUCAGGAAGGAAAGACCUUUGAAUUCACCAGACCUGAGUACAAAUCCCAGUUCUGUCCCUUAUAGAUGAGAUCCUGGGCUUCACCUUCUACCUGAGUCAGCUUUGUCACCUGUAAAUGUGAGGAUGAAGACCUUUCUUUCAGAGGAAAAGAUGAGGUUAAAGGCCUGGAAUGGAGAAGCGGUAGGGUAUCACAGGAUUUAAGAGGACUAAGAUGGCCUCCUGAGUGUCGCUGUCCGUGGUGACCUUGAACACGCUGCCGCUGCUGCCACUUUCAUCCUUCAGCUGCAGCCAGAAGGUGCUUUCCACAACCCACGCUGAACAUGCCACUGCCUGCGCUGGUUCCCGCCAUAGCUCUGCACUGGCCUGGAGAUGGAGCUGUGGAGCCCCUUCUGGAUCCUACGGCUGCCUGGUCUCUGGUGACAUCCCCUGCUCCAGGGCAGGCUGCAGCCUGUGGAAGGUCUUGUGAGGCCUCUCUCACUUCCAGGUCACCCCUGCCCCCACAUUCCUAGGACCUUCCUGCACCCCAGGCCCUGCUCUCUGGGACCCCAAGUCCACCCCACGGUGGGGCUUCUGCAUUUCACUCUUGUGUUCUCUCAGCCUGAGCUCUGGAAGGCGGGACUGUGCCGCGUAUUCAGCAGGCACACUCAGUACCUGGCCGCACCAGGCUGUCACACAGCGCAGGCAUGAGGUGCAGCGAGUGUGUGAAGGCCCAGCAGGAGCCACCAGCACACACUGGGGUUAACACAAGUGAAAGCUUUCACAAUCCCAAGUGUUGGCGAGGGUGCAGGACAAGCGACACAUGCAUUUUGUCCCCUGGGGGAGCCACUUUGACUUUAUUUAGUAAAGCCGAGUACCUACCCUGUGGCCCAGCCAUCACAUUUAGUGCUCUGUAUACACACCAGAGAAAUGUGUGCAGAUGGGCACGAGCAGAUGUGCAUGAUGGUGAAGACAGGGUCCUCCAUAGUAGCCUCAGACCGGAAAAAACUGAAAGGCACAUUCACAAUGGAACAAAGAAAUGAUGGAAUACUAUGUACCAAGGAAAAUGAAUAGACCUGUGAAUCUGAUGCUUGGAAAAUAAAAGGGGAAG